UUGAACCUCUAACAUAAUUCCUUUAUUUUACCAUAGCACAUUUUCUAAAAUCUGUUUAGCACUUAUUUAAUUAUGUAGGAUAUUAUAGUUAACAGAAUGCCCUUAGUCUCUACAGAGAGUUGUGCUUGAAACAGACAAAGCAGGCUGCAGCAUGGAUAGUGCCCUGGGACAGAGAGCUUGUGCUUGUACUGCGUUCGCAUUUAUGGGGAAGCUAGGGCAGAACGGAAAUACUUAACCAGUCCUGUAGCAAUAGGAGUUUCCCAUCAGGGCAAUGGCCUUGCUGGUGAGAAUAUGUGGAACUUGGACAGCAGCCAUCUAGGGGAA
rnacentral:lncRNA from 1 species